GUACCCUCAAGCUCUGCUUGGUGUUGGGUGUUUGUCCUCUCCUUGCGGUUGGACUCGCCUUAAAGCAAUUGGCAGCCAGUGUAUUGGUUUUAAGCGCAGCACAUUUUGCGUCUUGCUCCCACUAACACUGGCAUCCAUCAAGCCAUUUUAUCAC
rnacentral:misc_RNA from 1 species